rnacentral:rRNA from 1 species
UACGGGGGGAGCAAGCGUUGUUCGGAUUUACUGGGCGUAAAGGGCGCGUAGGCGGUCAGCACAAGUCAGUUGUGAAAUCUCCGGGCUUAACUCGGAAAGGUCAACUGAUACUGUGCGACUAGAGUGCAGAAGGGGCAACUGGAAUUCUCGGUGUAGCGGUGAAAUGCGUAGAUAUCGAGAGGAACACCUGCGGCGAAGGCGCUCUACUGGGCCACAACUGACGCUGAGGGACGAAAGCUAGGGGAGCGAAAGGG